GCCCUCUUGGCCAAGUGGUUAAGGCAUCUCCCUAGUAAGGAGAAGAUCGACGGUUCGACCCCGUCAGGGGGCU
rfam:Paramecium tetraurelia chromosome undetermined scaffold_3, whole genome shotgun sequence.